rnacentral:sRNA from 1 species
AGAUUAGGGUUUCUGUUGCCGCCACACUCCCUCCUCCCUGAAUGAGAUGUCUCUGCUUUGAUGCUUCCACAAAACCCUAAUCUCGUGGCUAUUCCAUUUGUUUCAUCCUGCACCUCCAUAUUUUCUUAAUAAUAACAAUAAUAAUUGGCGCAUUUCUUUUUUCUCUCUCUUUCUCCCUCUUUCAGUGUCUCAAUUGACACUGCUAAAUUACUUGUUCCUUUUUUUCUUUUUCUUUUUCUUUUAUACUUCAGGGCCAUGCCUCGUUCUCUUCUGUUUCUCUGAACCAAAAGAGGCUGUGAAGAUUGUUUUGGAGUGUGGACCCGAUACGUCGGUCGCCGUCAAACAUCGGUCGCCGGAGGCGAGGCAACGUUAUCGCUUGUGUGAUCUUGUUGCAGCCAUCCGUGGUGGUGUUGUUUUUCGACUUCCGAUCUGUCGUUGUGAUAGAUCUGAGCCUCCGUGAUUCGCGCUCGAAUAUUUCCAUAGUCGGCAAUGUCUCAACGUAGUAUUUGUCAGAGGUGUAUGGAGUGAGAGAAGGGAAAAACGCCUUUCCCGAUCUCAUCGGUUAUUUCUUUCCUCUCUCAUUCCAUACAUCGUCCGACGAACGUAUCGUUGAUCGGUUCUGCAUGGUUUUGGUUUCACUUUGUACCCUCCCUGGAAACCCUAAUUUACUUUAAUUUUUUGCUAUUUGAAUAGUGUGUGACAUGUGGUCGAUGCGUUUGCUGUAUUUUAAUUUCAGGAUGGGCUUAAAGUGAAGUUCUGCUAUUCGGUUAUCUUCGAGCUGUCUAAGAAAACACGCUUGGUGUACAUUUCACGGAAUAACUAGUCACAAUAUUCUAUAUCAAUGUUUAUAUUUCUGAUUUUCUAUGUAAUGUUCAUCAACGGUUUGUAUAGGAGUUUGAACCGUGCUUGUUCCAUUCAUGUAACAAUAUAUUUAUAGUUAGAUUGUAGUAGAAUCCAAUUCUUAAAUUGUUGUGUAAUUGUAUGAUUGGGGAAGUCAUUUAAAGUUGUUACGAUUGCAUUUGAAGAAAGAAGAUUAAUUACUGUAUGUGCAAUUGUUUUAAUAAUUAUAAUUAUAAUUCUAUACAAUGUCCUUCAGCAUUGUGCCCUUUAAAUACUGGACGCAGUGUAUUUCGUUGCAAGCUUAUAAAAUUUUGCAUUUUGGCAUGGAUUUUGCGUUUAUAUUGCACUAUUGACACAAUUCCUAAUAAUCCAAAUGCAAGCGUUGGAAAAAGGGUUGCCUGAUGAAUAACCCAUUAAUAAGAAUUGUAGAACCAAUCUCGUGUUGUUUCUAUGAUACAAGAUGGAAUGUAAUUGUAGAACCAAUGUUAGGGUUAAGUUAGUGUUCUCUAGAUUUUGCUGUGUUUAUCACAUUAAUUUCUGUGCAAGAGCGUAGCAAGCACCAAAAUGGCUACAGCUGAGAGGCCACAGUUAGCAAGCUCUGCCGUGGCGGCUGAAGCUGCAGGACCGUCGGCAGCAGGUGUAGCAUCAUCGGCAGGUGUAGCAUCAUCAGCAGGCCGAGUUUCAGCCGGUUUAGAAGCGUCGCUGACUGGAGGAAGAGGUGGAUCAACAACGUUUGCAACCUGAAGAGGAGGAAGUGGUGCCUGCGCUUGUGGCUGGUCCUGGGCUGGGAUAGUUUUCAGUAGAUCACCAGGUCUGGCCGGCAUGGAGAGUGGAAUGACUUACAGACGAAUCUACUCGAAGUGCCAGGAAAGUCGGUGACUACUCCAUCAACCAUAGCAGUCUGGAUGUAAGUAGCAAUCUCGAUAUUAGGGUCUGACCAGUAGUCGAAUGCCAGUGACGUGUAUUCAUUUUUAAGUGUACGGACGAAUACUGUGAGGUUUGCAUCUUUCAACUCCUUAACAACAUUGGUCAAUCGAUACAAGUAAGAGGCAUAUACUUCGAUAACAGAGGUUUUUGGAACAUUCACUGCAUCCGCAUACUUUUUUAUCUCUUCCGCUGUUUUUUUGGGCACGCUACCAAUCUUUUCACUCAAAAACAGUACCCUUUUGUAAGACGGGUUAUCUUUAAACUUAGAUAGGACCGAGCUGUCAUCUGAUUGAACCAGGACUUGUUGCUUGUCGAAGGUGGCGUUUUUCAAGGCACUGCUAACAGCAUCCACAAUGUCAAGACCCUUUUUUGAUGCAAGGUACGCCGCAUUCUGUGAGGCAAUUGGAGUUUGCAAUAAUAGAAAAUUUUCAAAUAGAAGGAAAACGAUUGCAGUAACACAUCCUUCUUAACAUGUACCUUAAUAACUGGUUUAAAUUUUUGUGAGAAAUCCAAAAGUAGUGAUAUUGCUUACCUGAAUGUUUACCAAAACGCCAGGAACUGCCUUUGUCUUGGCUAACUCCAGAAAAUCUUGGAGGGUGAUCAAUUUACCGCUGCUUUUGUUUGCAGGGUUUCUUUGGAAAUCGCCGUUUUUAACAAUAUGAGCUGAAACAAGAAAUUUGUACUGUAAUUUCAUUGUUGAAAUCUCAAAGGUUGAAUCUGAACUUGAAUCCUUGAAGUUCUUUAGAAGUAUUUACGUUUUAAUUUCUGAAUCUCACUCCAGGAAAGGUCAAAGGAGAAUAUUCCAGAUUUUGGUUGAAUAUCUGGGACUUUGGAAGAUCGAGACAUAAAUUUAGUCAUUGCGUUGGUAUCUGGGCCUAGGUCUGAGCUAUUUGAGCAGAAGGCAAUGCCAUCUCUUGUCAUUUGAACUGAACAAUCUAUAAUGUCAGCACCGUCAUCUAUUGCUUGCUUAUAUGCAAGAUCACUGCUGCCUGGAUAAAUUCCGCUUGCACCAUUGUUGCUUAUGACCAAAGUUGGUCCUACAAAAUCAAAUUUAUAAGGUAAAUUUGUCAUCCACCUGUUUUCCGUGUCUUGUCCGUCUGGGGUAUGAUUGAGAACAUUUUAAGAUUGAUAAUAUACCUUUUUUGGGCAAGGUAUUGUUGUGUGAAAAGCAAACUGUAAAACAAAAUAUCUGUUAGAAAGUUGAAGAGGUGAUCUUCAAGUUAGAAAUAGAUUGUGAAUUUAAGUGGAAGGUUUGACAUCUCACAUAUUGCAUUUGAUGCUGUUGAUGGGAAAUCGGUGACAACACCAUCAACAGAAUCUCCCUUGUCGAAAAAUUGAAGGUACUCAGCGGUAGGAUCAUAGUUAUAAGAAUAGCUAGCAAAAAAAUCAUUAGCAAAACCAGAAGCAUAGACUUCUAGUCCAGAUUUAUGGGCAUCAGCCACAACUGUGGUGGGAAGUCCCAGAUAUUUGUCUGCUUUAAUGGGCCAUAUGUAAUCUUUUGGGACUAUUAUGCCUGAUGCAAAUGACUUGAUUGUAGCAAUAUCCUUUAUAAUACUUUCAUAUGGCUUCUUGGUUGAAGGUUCGACAUCCUUAGCGUUAAGAAGUUGAAAGACGACCUUGGUAUUGUUAGAUUUCUGACUGAGACUCUUCAAGAAGCCCAUAUCUGAAGCUGAAACAAAUUCUAUUCGAUAGGAAUCCAAUAAUUCCAAAACAAUAUCUUCCACCUUUACUCCCUUUUCUUGGUAGAAUGCUGCAUUCUGCAACAGAACACGCAAUUAAUAUUAUAAUAAUUUGGUAAACAGAAAGAACUAAGGAAUGUGGCGUGGUGCUUGUAGAGUUUCAAUUCUCAAAGAAGGUCCCGAAUUCAGAGGGAGUAAAACCUGAACAUUCAACCAAAACCUGGGGGGGUUUUUCGUGCUCAGCAGACUAUCAAGGUUGAGAAUUGGAUCAAGACCAUCGUAAGCACUGGGUCGUGAAAAUAUGGCCUGAAUCACUGCAGAUCACAGACCAAACCUUCAAUUUCAAAGCUCAAACCUAACAGUAGUUUUUUAUUGCUCCUAUUUCAGCCUAUAAUCUAUUAACUCACCUGAUACAUUCAUGCCAAUCUGUUCGGAAUUGUAAUCCACUGAAAAGUGUCCUUUCACGUCCUUCCCAUUAAUAUUAUAGGUACUUUCCUUAGGAUCGAAGAACUCUAUAGUUGUUCCAUUGUCAAGUGUAGAUCCCGUGAUGCAAAAGGCCCCGCCAUCUUUUGACAACUGAAGAUUGCAAAAUAAAAUGCUGAUGUCUCGUGCCAAUGUAAUGGCGUCUGGAGAGCCUUCAGGGAAGAGUCCUGAAUAACCACCACGGGCUAUUACAAGAGGCUCAUUGCCUGCAACAUCAACAAACAAUCACAUCAAUGAGCCAGGGAAGCCAUUUUUCAGAGAAACAAAAAGUCCUACGGAUACCAACCACUUAAUGUUGACCAUUUCGGGGAAGCAACUUUUGGUGCAACUGCAGGUUUUUGUGCUACUAUUCCAUGAAUCAAGAAGAAAAUCAGAAACAAGCUUCUGAGCAUUUUGUUCUUUUCCUGUUACAGUCCAAACUAAACCGAGUCAAUGUCAAGUGAAACAAUCAAUCAAUCAAUCAAUCCUUAAAACGUUCAUUUGC